UCUAGCGUUGGCGCAUGUAUGUAGCUUUCGUGUUCCAUUUUGCAUAUUUUUGAUAUUGAAAUCGAAGUGUAAGUGCGUUGAGUCGAGCCUUUUGUUCCUCCGCCUUGCUGUUGCGAAUUCACUCCAAAAAUCUCCUUAUUCUGUGAAUUUCUACUUUUUGUGAUAGAGACACUUUUGUUUGUUGAAUUUAUGAACUUUGGUGUAAUGCUGAGACGUUGUGCUUUCGGUUCUGCGUGAGAUUCCAAUGCAUCAUUUCCCAGAUGCUAUCAAAUUUCCUGAGCAGUUUAAAACUUGGGUCAGUAUUGUUGGUGGAAACCCUGAAACAUCUGAUUUUGAAUAUUAUAAGAAGAAGAGAAUUUGUGAUAUAUACACUUUUCUGACAGACACAGAAAUUGUAAUCAACGGCUAAGCACAUUGGCAGUUCCGAUGCUUCAUCUGCCUGGACAAGUUAAGAGUAAAGUAAUCUUAGGACAAGCUUCAUCCACACAACAUUUACUGCCUACAAUAAUACAGCAAGACUGUUCAGAUCUAAUGGCUCCACAGCGCACAAAGAUCAAGCAUCUUCAAGCAAAAAUAUCGUGCUUGUGAAAAAAAGGACAAUCUUUCAAAGCAAGGUUAAAAGGUGCUGAAGAUUUGUCCAGCAGCAAUGUAUUUCAACAUUUUGCUAUGAAAUUUAAGAAACCAGCUCAAUUAUUUUUAAGUAUGCAGUUACAAGCAUCAAAAAACCCAAAUAUGAUAGAAAUAACAAUGAUUAUAUAAAAGCAAAAGAAUACAAUAAUAAAAAAUGGUUAUGUUAUCCAAAUCAAGAAUUAGAAAAUUG